AGAGUUUGAUCCUGGCUCAGAUUGAACGCUGGAGGCGUGCUUAACACAUGCAAGUCGUGCGAGAAAGGGACUUCGGUCCUGAGUAGAGCGGCGCACGGGUGAGUAACGCGUGGGUGAUCUCCCUUGGUGACCGGGAUAACAGCGGGAAACUGCUGCUAAUACCGGAUAAUCUUCAUGUUUAACUUCAUGGGGUAAAGGUGGCCUCUGCUUGCAAGCUACCACACCGAGAUGAGCCCGCGUCUCAUUAGCUAGUUGGUAGGGUAAUGGCCUACCAAGGCUACGAUGAGUAGCUGGUCUGAGAGGAUGACCAGCCACACUGGGACUGGAACACGGCCCAGACUCCUACGGGAGGCAGCAGUGGGGAAUAUUGCGCAAUGGGCGAAAGCCUGACGCAGCGACGCCUCGUGAGGGAUGAAGGUCUUCGGAUCGUAAACCUCUGUCAAGAGGGAAGAAACCCUUGGAUUCGAAUAGGGUCCUUGGCUGACGGUACCUCAAAAGGAAGCACCGGCUAACUCCGUGCCAGCAGCCGCGGUAAUACGGAGGGUGCAAGCGUUAAUCGGAAUCACUGGGCGUAAAGCGCUCGUAGGCGGUUUGGUCAGUCAGAUGUGAAAGCCCUCGGCUCAACCGGGGAACUGCAUUUGAUACUGCCAGACUUGAGUAUCGGAGAGGGUGGCGGAAUUCCGGGUGUAGGAGUGAAAUCCGUAGAUAUCCGGAGGAACACCAGUGGCGAAGGCGGCCACCUGGACGAUAACUGACGCUGAGGAGCGAAAGCGUGGGGAGCAAACAGGAUUAGAUACCCUGGUAGUCCACGCGGUAAACGAUGGAUGCUGGGUGUCGGGGGUUUACCUUCGGUGCCGCAGUUAACGCGUUAAGCAUCCCGCCUGGGGAGUACGGUCGCAAGGCUGAAACUCAAGGAAUUGACGG
rnacentral:rRNA from 1 species